GACGAACGCUGGCGGCGUGCCUAACACAUGCAAGUCGAACGAGGUCCAUGCAGUGGCAACACUGCGGAAGACCUAGUGGCGAACGGGUGAGUAACACGUGAGGAACCUGCCCCGAAGACCGGGAUAACCCUCCGAAAGGAGAGCUAAUACCGGAUACCCCCACCGGAUCGCAUGAUCUGGUGAGGAAAUGGAUUCCGCUUCGGGAGGGCCUCGCGGCCUAUCAGCUAGUCGGCGGGGUAACGGCCCACCAAGGCAUCGACGGGUAGCUGGUCUGAGAGGACGAUCAGCCACACUGGGACUGAGACACGGCCCAGACUCCUACGGGAGGCAGCAGUGGGGAAUCUUGCGCAAUGGGCGAAAGCCUGACGCAGCAACGCCGCGUGCGGGAUGAAGGCCUUCGGGUUGUAAACCGCUUUCAGCAGGGACGAAUUUUGACGGUACCUGCAGAAGAAGCCCCGGCCAACUACGUGCCAGCCGCCGCUGUAAUAC
rnacentral:rRNA from 1 species